CUGUGAUUGUUUUCAGGUAGGCCAAGUCCGGAUCUUUCUCUAAUUCCACAUAUUCAGGAGUACCUAGCUCCGGCAUGAAACGCCGGCUGAUGGUGGGACGGUUUGGGAGGUAUCCAGCGUAAGGGUAUUGCCCGAAAUUCACUGCUGCGUGGAGCGCUGAAGCUACCCAUAUGAUGAUGGUGCAUGAUUGUGUGAGGUCUUGGAAAUUUUGCAUCUCUGGCCACCAUGGUUCGUCUUUCUUAUCUCCAUGGCCUUCGUUUCUCAAUUCUGACCACCAGGAUUGGAGUUCCUCGUCGUUCUGGAUCAACUCAUCUGUAGGGUAGUAGAAACUGCAGUACUCCUGCACCCAUGUUUCGAUUGCUGACCAAAUUUCUAGUCCAUCGUUGGCGUAAGGGUAGUCCUCUAUCAGAAGUUUGAGCCCAUGUGGCUUGGUUUGAUCUGGUACUGCUACUCCUCUGAAAGUUUGAUACAGUCUUCUAAAUCAGAAAUCUGGAUACAAGACCUUGAUAAUAAUACCAGUUGAAGAUUUUUCAUGGUUUUUCUUACCUCUUUAUCAGGUCGGCAGGGAGUCCUUGUUCAGUGAAUAUCCAGUUUUUGUACACAACAGCUGACAUUUCCAUGGCGUAUCUUGCUGGGAAGACUGUCAUCUCUAGUAUACCACCAGCAUUGAUAAGGAUCUGUCUGGCAAAUGCAUUUAUAUUCAUUGUGUCGCG
rnacentral:lncRNA from 1 species